UACGAAGGGGGCUAGCGUUGCUCGGAAUCACUGGGCGUAAAGGGCGCGUAGGCGGCCUGCUAAGUCACACGUGAAAUCCCUCGGCUCAACCGGGGAACUGCGUGUGAUACUGGCGGGCUUGAAUUCGGGAGAGGGAUGUGGAAUUCCAGGUGUAGCGGUGAAAUGCGUAGAUAUCUGGAGGAACACCGGUGGCGAAGGCGGCAUCCUGGACCGAGAUUGA
rnacentral:rRNA from 1 species